rnacentral:rRNA from 1 species
UACGAAGGGGGCGAGCGUUGUUCGGAUUUACUGGGCGUAAAGGGCGCGCAGGCGGCCAUUCAAGUCAGGCGUGAAAGCCCCGGGCUUAACCUGGGAGGUGCGCUUGGGACUGGAUGGCUAGAGAUCGGGAGAGGAGAGUGGAAUUCCCAGUGUAGAGGUGAAAUUCGUAGAUAUUCGGAAGAACACCAGUGGCGAAGGCGGCUCACUGGACUGGUAUUGACGCUGAGGUGCGAAAGCGUGGGGAGCAAACAGG